AACGAACGCUGGCGGCAUGCCUAACACAUGCAAGUCGAACGAGACCUUCGGGUCUAGUGGCGCACGGGUGCGUAACGCGUGGGAAUCUGCCCUUGGGUUCGGAAUAACAGUUGGAAACGACUGCUAAUACCGGAUGAUGACGUAAGUCCAAAGAUUUAUCGCCCAAGGAUGAGCCCGCGUAGGAUUAGCUAGUUGGUGAGGUAAAGGCUCACCAAGGCGACGAUCCUUAGCUGGUCUGAGAGGAUGAUCAGCCACACUGGGACUGAGACACGGCCCAGACUCCUACGGGAGGCAGCAGUGGGGAAUAUUGGACAAUGGGCGAAAGCCUGAUCCAGCAAUGCCGCGUGAGUGAUGAAGGCCUUAGGGUUGUAAAGCUCUUUUACCCGGGAUGAUAAUGACAGUACCGGGAGAAUAAGCGCCGGCUAACCCCGUG
rnacentral:rRNA from 1 species